rnacentral:rRNA from 1 species
AACGAACGCUGGCGGCAGGCUUAACACAUGCAAGUCGAGCGCCCCGCAAGGGGAGCGGCAGACGGGUGAGUAACGCGUGGGAAUCUACCCAUCUCUACGGAAUAACGCAUGGAAACGUGUGCUAAUACCGUAUACGUCCUUCGGGAGAAAGAUUUAUCGGAGAUGGAUGAGCCCGCGUUGGAUUAGCUAGUUGGAGGGGUAAAGGCCUACCAAGGCGACGAUCCAUAGCUGGUCUGAGAGGAUGAUCAGCCACACUGGGACUGAGACACGGCCCAGACUCCUACGGGAAGCAGCAGUGGGGAAUAUUGGACAAUGGGCGCAAGCCUGAUCCAGCCAUGCCGCGUGAGUGAUGAAGGCCCUAGGGUUGUAAAGCUCUUUCACCGGUGAAGAUAAUGACGGCAACCGGAGAAGAAGCCCCGGCUAACUUCGUGCCAGCCGCCGCGGUAAAAC